rnacentral:tRNA from 1 species
GCUGGAGUGGCGGAAAGGGUAGACGCGGUGGUAUUGGAAGUCACUGGGUAAUUAACCUUGUUCAGAGGGCACCCGUGCGAGUUCAAAUCUCGUCUCCAGCA